GAUGAACGCUGGCGGCGUGGAUAAGGCAUGCAAGUCGAACGAGGUCUUCGGACCUAGUGGCAGACGAGGUAGUAACAUGUAGGAACUCACCCUAAAGUCAGGAAUAACUGGUCGAAAGAUCAGCUAAUACUUGAUAGUACCCAUGGGUUAAAGAUUUAUCGCUUUAGGAGAGGCCUGCACAGUAUCAGCUUGUUGGUGAGGUAAUGGCUCACCAAGGCUAUGACGCUUAGGGGAGCUGAGAGGCUGACCCCCACCGAUGGUACUGAGACACGGACCAUACACCUACGGGUGGCCGCAGUCGAGAAUCUUCCGCAAUGGACGAAAGUCUGACGGAGCGACGCCGCGUGAUUGAUGACGCCCUUCGGGGUGUAAAAAUCUUUUAUGAAGGAGGAAGUUUAUUGACGUUACUUCAUGAAUAAGGGGCUCCAAACUCUGUGCCAGCAGGAGCGGUAAUACAGAGGCCUCAAGCGUUAUCCGGAAUUAUUGGGCGUAAAGGGUGUGUAGGCUGUUUUGCUAGUCUUUUGUUAAAGAUCCGGGCUUAACCCGGGAAAAGCGAAAGAAACGGCAAAACUUGAGGGUGCGAGGGGUGAACAGAACUCACAGUGUAGGGGUGAAAUCCGUUGAUAUUGUGGGGAAUACCAAAAGCGAAGGCAGUUCACUGGCGCAUUCCUGACGCUGAGACACGAAAGCAUGGGUAGCGAACGGGAUUAGAUACCCCGGUAGUCCAUGCCGUAAACGAUGUUCUCUAGAUUUGAGGAGAAUCGACCCUCUUCGAGUCGUAGCUAACGCGUUAAGAGAACCGCCUGGGUAGUACGGCCGCAAGGCUAAAACUCAAAGGAAUAGACGGGGGCUUGCACAAGCGGUGGAUCAUGUGGCUUAAUUCGUCGAUUAAACGAAGAACCUUACCAAGGCUAGACAUCUAAGUGAAAGCUCUAAGAAACUAGAGCCCUCUUCGGACUCUUAGACAGGUGAUGCAUGGCCGUCGUCAGUUCGUGGUUUGAAUUGUUCCCUUAAGUGGGGUAACGAACGCAACCCUCAUCGUGUGUUACAAGUGUCACACGAGACUGCCC
rnacentral:rRNA from 1 species